rnacentral:tmRNA from 1 species
GGGGGCGACCUGGCUUCGACGUGGGUUGCGAAACCUGAUGUGCAUGCCGAGGAUGAGAACUCUCGUAAAACGGGCUCGAUAAAUAUAAAUGCAAACGAUGAAAUGUUCGCUGGAGAAGCUGUAGCUGCGUAAGCAACUGCGGUGACCGAAGCACAGUGCGCUGCCAAAAACCCAGCGCCCCGUUGACCGGGCUUGCUUGCCGGUACCGAAUCAACGGUCAUAGAAGACAAGCUGGUAUCCUGGUGUAUCCCGCGCCAGUAUACAAGACUCAGGGAAUCGCUGCCGACCAUCCUGCCUGUCGGAGGGGAAGCAGUUAAAACAAAUGACAAGGCUAAGCAUGUAGAUCUGACGGCAGAGGAUUUGCGGACGCGGGUUCGAUUCCCGCCGCCUCCACCA